CUCCUACGGGAGGCAGCAGUGGGGAAUUUUCCGCAAUGGGCGAAAGCCUGACGGAGCAAGACCGCGUGAGGGAGGAAGGCUCUUGGGUUGUAAACCUCUUUUCUCUGGGAGGAACAAAAUGACGGUACCAGAGGAAAUCAGCAUCGGCUAACUCCGUGCCAGCAGCCGCGGUAAGACGGAGGAUGCAAGCGUUAUCCGGAAUGAUUGGGCGUAAAGCGUCCGCAGGUGGCAAUUCAAGUCUGCUGUUAAAGCGCAGGGCUUAACCCUGUAAAGGCAGUGGAAACUGAAUAGCUAGAGUGUGGUAGGGGCAGAGGGAAUUCCCAGUGUAGCGGUGAAAUGCGUAGAUAUUGGGAAGAACAUCGGUGGG
rnacentral:rRNA from 1 species